UGAAUAAGAGUUAUGGAGGGAUUGGUGUUGCAGAGUGUGGAAAAGUAGGGGUCAUCAAUGGAGAUUGAUUCAGUUGGCAUGGCGGAGAUUAUGAUUGUAAUUGAGAUUGAAGGGUGGUGUUCGAGAAUUUGCUUUCCUAGUUCCACCAUAGAGAAUAAGUGGCCUCUGCCAGGUGAUGGGUACAAGACUAUGGUAUCCUCCAUGAGGCAGGCUUCUCUCUUUUCGCACAACCACCGAAAGAGAGAAAGAUAGAGAUAUGAUAUCGCAGUAAGGACCUUGGAUGUGCUUUAUAUGCAAUUUAACUUUGGCUUUUUCUGUGGGCUUCACCUCAGUGAGUGUUUGUUUUUCCAGUCGAUUACUGCCUGUAUUUCAAAUGGCCUUUUACAGUAAAAAAAAACGUAUUAAAUUGUUUUUUUUUAAAUAUUUUUAAUAUACUAAUAUUAUAUAUAUUACUUCAAUUGAAAGCAAUUUUAAAAAAUAUCAUGCGAAAGCAUACUAAAAUCAUAUCAUGUGAUACUAUUAUAAUUGAUCGGCUUUGAAAAAAAAAUCAGUUCCAGGUGUAAUAUUGAGUUAAAAAAUAGUUGAAACAUCUACAUUUUUUUUAUGAUGCGAAUUACAAUCAAUUAUUGACAAAUAUUAUAAUACCUAAUAGUUAGGUAUAUUACAAAAAAAAAAAACUAAAAGUACUCAGCCUUGGCUUUUUCUAUAGCACGUGAAGAGAUUAAUUAUUGUGGAUUUAAGAAAAGUAAUAAAUAUUUUGCCCUUCAUUGUUUGGUAUUGAUGUAAAAUUUUCUUUUUUGAUGGACACAAAUGUCAUUUGUAGAUUGAUCAUUGUCAAUUUUCUCGUUCACCUUUGAAAAUACACGGUGAAAAUGACCUAUAGGCUAGCCCAUUAGCUCGCGCCACGCAAAAGAAAACAUCACCAAACAAAAAAAAUAUAGACAUUACAAAUAUAUCUUUUAAGAAAGUUCAAAUAUUUUAUUCAUGAAUUUAAAAUUAGUUGCAUAUCAGAAGAUAUUUUUAUCUAACAUGAGGAAGUAAACAUAUUGGAUCAACCUAGAUUAUUCUGGUUGACACUUGAAAGUUUCGGGAUAAUCUUGAAAAAAACAAGUUGAGAACUUAAAUCUUGAGUUAGUUCAAUGUUGAAGGACAAAAUAAAAAAAAUAUUUUUAUAGAAAACAAGUGAACCGGAGUCAACUAACCAAACUUUUCAUGCUAGUCAUACACGUCAUCGGAUUCAAUAAUUUUUUAUUCCAUAGAUUAGUUUCAUUUAAUAGAAUUACAUGAAAAUAAUGUGAAUGUGAUAUUUUUUAAUUAAAUAUUUUUUAAAAAGAAAAAAAUAACAUUAAAGAUGUCUGGGACUGGAGACAGCAAAAGCAAAUCGUUGUUAAUAAAGGGUGAAAUUGUUUUUUUUUUCUUUAAAUCUUAGUUAAUUAUAAAAAUAGAUCAUCGAUAAUAAGGAUGAAAAUGUUUUUUAAAAAAAAACAAUUGAGGUACUAAAAGUGCAUUAAGCAAAAAAAAUAAUACACUGAAUGUUGUGACUUAACUCGUCGAACUUACAAUCCCGGUCAUGAAACUAACAGGGUUAAUUUAUUUCAAUAUCUAAAAAGGGUGGAAAACCCCCAUAAGGCUAGCUAAUGCCUCAGCACACUAGGCCUCUAAAAAGAACAUCCCAGGCUUGCACACUUGAGCUUGUUUUUUCUUUUCUUUUCUUAUUAAAAUGGGCGAAUCUCUCUCCCCUUUCGCAUAAAAGGUUUGAAAAAUAAGGGGAAUAAACUUUUACAUCAAAAUUGAAUUUUUGAAAACUAAAAGGGGCAAUCACCUAUAAACCGAAAAAGAUAAGGGACUAAAAUAAAAAAUUUUGUAUGAAGAAUUCACCACCUAUUUAACUUGUUAUUUUCACUUUGAUUUUUUGACUUUCAAUCCAACCAUUUUGUAUUUCAUAUGAAAAAAUUAAGAAAAAAUCCAUGUGAAUAUAGGCUAUACAUGUUGUAAAUAAUGAAGUUAAAGUUUUUUAUCUCACAUUGAAAAAACCUAACUUUUUUCUUGUGAACAUAGAGUAUAUAUACUAAAGAGAUUCAAAUCUCACAUUGAAAAGAUAUUAUAUUAUCCUUUAAAAUUGAAGUAUUUAAACCAAAAGGUUUUUUAUCCCACUUUGAAAAACAUAACUUUUUUAUUAUGAACAUAGAGUAUAUAUACGAAAGGAUUUCAAAUCUCACAUUGAAAAAAUAAUUUUUUUCUUGGGAACAUAGAGUAUAUACAAUAAAAUCUCACAUUGAAAAAAUAAAAUAUUUUUCUAAUCUGUAUAUAGUGAACUUUAAAAAAUGUUAAUAACCAACUAAAAAAAUAUGAAAAAAGAAAGGUAUGGGAGGAAAACCACAUUUGAAAAGAAAAAAAAAAGGUCUCGUCCGGGUUCGCCUGAGUCGCCCAGGUACUGGAUUUUACCGGGUUGUUGAACCGGUCAGUCUUUUAACAAAUCCAUACUAGUCCAGCAAUCGAGUCAACCCACUAGGUCAGACCGGGUUUAAUAACAGUACCCACAAGAAUGAGCAAAUUUUGGGCUAGAUGGGGUCUGGAUUGCCAUUUCCAUGUAAAUUGACUCUCCUCGCUACAGCCCAAAGUCACUUCAUUUUUUUUAAGCCAAAGAAUAUUUUCAAAUCAUUUACGCAUUUAAUUAUUUUUUCAAAUGAUUUUAAAAAAACGUACUCUCGUAUCGAAACCCACAAAAAAGAAGAAAAGGAAAUGAGGAUAUGUACUAGACCACUCCCUUUAAAUUUCUUGAAGAUAAUUGUUAGAUAGAGGGGUUGAAACCAGUCCCAUCUAAAUUUGACCACUUGCCAUGAAAUUGCAUGAUUCAUGGGUUUGAAUGGCAGCUCGUGAGCGUUGUUUUUUUUUUUUUUUUUUUUUAAUAUGGGGUUAUCCGAAUACUGAAUGAUCAAGUAUCCUAGUAUAUUUUUUAAUUUUUUUUAUCCAGGUUGUUUCGGAUACAGGAUGAUCAAUAAUCUAAUAAAUAAAUAAAUAUUUAUUUAUAAUGAUUUAUAAAAGCUCGAAUUCUGUGCUUAAAUUGAAGGAUUAAAUUAAAUUUUUUUUAAAAUUAACUAUUUUAAUUCAUAAUAAUUUACGAGAGGAUGCGCAGAGAGAUUUGCCAUAGUAAAAAACCACAAAAACCAAUUUGGCAACCUAAAAAACAUUUUUAAUGCUAUAGUUUUUAACCCAACAAAACCAUUUUUUCAACCCAUUUAAAGCCAAGAACACCUAAAAACCAAUCUUAUAACAUGUAAAAAUCAAUUUGGCAACCUAAAAAACAACUCAAAUCACAAAAUGAAACCAAAUAAGUUCUCUCGUCCUCGACUUGGAUAUGUUUUUUAGGCAAUAUCAAGGCUUAAAGUAAUCUUCGUAAGACUCCUUUAAUCGAGUGUAACCCAUUGACACUGAUUCCAAUUGUUUUAAUGGCCUGAAUAUGUGUAGACGAUGAUGUUCUCAAGGACUAAAUUAAAUUUUUUAAAAAACUAACUGUUUCAAUUCACAAUAAUUUAUGAGAGAGUAUUUAAUCAUUUUAAUGUACUGAUCUCAAAAAUAAUUUUUAAAAACUAAAAAAACAUUAUUAACAUAUUUUUAUAUGACCCAUCUAUCCUAAAGAACAACAAGCAAGCCUAACUUUACCAAAACCCGCAAGAGGGGUUGAAACCAGUCCCCAUCUAAAAUUGUUAGAUAGAGAGGGGUUGAAACCAGUCGCUUUUAAAUUUCUUGAAGAAUAUAGUGUCAAUAAAUAGUGAAUUAAUUGUUAGAUAGAGAGGGGUUGAAACCAGUCCCAUCUAAAAGUGACCAUGGGUAUGAAAAUUACAGUGCUCAUCUCUUCACGCUUUGAUUCAUGGGUAUGAAAAUUACAGCCCUGUGAGCGUUGUUUUCUUUUUUUCCCCUUGCUAGAGUGAUUUGAAAGUUGAUUUAUUAUUUUUCUUAUUUUAUUCCACAAUAAGAUUAUUUAUUUUUAGAUAAAUUUAAAUAUCAAUCAAGAUUAAAUAACAUAAUUAUUACCCCCUUCUUAAUUAAGUAUGACAUUUGAACUGUCUACCAAAUCUCGACGUCCUUUCUUCACUGAGCUGCAACUUUUAAUUCUCUUAAAUGCUGGAUUAACUUAAUUAGCACUCGAGCAGUAUUCAAGAGAGAACUAUUAAGCUAAUAAAUAUUAAAGAAAAUUUAAUUAAAGAAAAAAAUAAAGCAAUGGGUGACGAGCUUUCGACACCCUUGGAAUUAUUAAGCACAACACGUCAGAAUGACACAGAUAUUGUUAUUAUUGGAUUCAUAUCGGAUAUAGGACUAUCCGCCUGGAAUGACAUACCAUGUAUUUAUUGAAUAUAUAAAUGUGGAGAAAAGGUUUAAAAAUUACCUAACCAACCACUCUAAUAUUUUGAAUUGAGAGCAAUUCUUUAACAUUUUAUGAACCGUGUUCGUUAAUGUUAUCUUCCGAUCAAGUAAAGCACGAGAACGCUAUUAAAAUUAUAUAUUUUUAAAAGUUUUAAGUUUUUUUGUUUUUUUUUAAUAUAUUUUUUUUUGUUUUUUGAAUUAUUUUAAUGUUUUAAUAUCAAAAAUAAUUUAAAAAAAAUAAAAAAUAUAUUAUUUUAAUAUAUUUGGGUCUUGCUAGGAGGCCAGGCCCAACAACGUUAUUGGGUCUGUUUCAUUCAAAAUCUAAGUCUGCAAUUGACCAGAAGUAAACCAGUCACCCGGCAUGGUCAACCCAAAACUAGGGCGAUCCGGCAAAAAUCUGAAAGAGACCUUUUUUUUUUUCAAAAGUGUUUUUUCAAGAAUUAUUAUAAAAUAGAGAUGAAUAUAGGGUCUUUGGAGACCGACCUUGUCAGGAGAGGGGCGAAGCAGCUUGACCAUAGCGGGAGGGGUGGUCACUCGUAUAAGUCACAGCCCUCCCUUGGGUCGCCUUCUAAGAUCAAAAGCUAGAGAAUCCUAUGUAGUUCGUUCCCUUACGGUUGAGACUUUGGAAUUCAAAACCCUCGCCUGUUGGCUUUCGCUCCCGGCUUCCCUGCCGGAAAUAGUUGCCUAAGCCCUCCUUUUGCUAUGAAAAAAAGGCACUUUCUUCUGGAAUCACCAACACGUUUAGUCGUUGAUCUAUUGUUGAGACUUGAGAGGUUUGAUUGGUUUCAAAUUUCAGCUGAUGCUUGGAGUUGGCAUGUCUUUGGUUGUCUCGUGUAUGUGUUUGAGAGUCUAAUGAGAGGAGGUGGCCGCAGGUGCUAGGAUUAGGUUGCUGGCACAAAGAUUUGUUUAUUUUUUAGAAUCGGUUCGGUUCGGUCCGGUUUAACUGAUUUCUGCAUUACAAAAUCGAAAACCGAACCGAGAUUUUUUCUAAAUAUUUUAAUCAGUUUUUUUGCUCGGUUUGGUUUUUUCGGUUUUUUUUUUGUUUUCUCACUUUAUUAUUUAUAAAAAAAUAAUAUUAGAUACAUAUCGGAUAUCGGUUUCGACACCCUUGGAAUUAUUAAGCACAACACGUCAGAAUGACACAGAUAUUGUUAUUAUUGGAUACAUAUCGGAUAUAGUUCUAUCCGCCUGGAAUGACAUCCCAUGUAUUUAUUGAAUAUAUAAAUGUGGAGAAAAGGGUUUAAAAAUUAACUUUACCUUUUGAUAUUAUUAUUUAUUGAGUAUAUAAAUGACAUUUUGAAUUGAGAGCAAUUCUUUAACAUUUCUUGAACCAUGUUCGUUAAAGUUAUCUUCCGAGCAACCAAGCACCUGGAACGUUAUUGAAAUUAUAUAUAUUUUUUAAAAUUUUAAAGUAUUUUGUUUAAACUUUUAUUUUUAUUUUUAUUUUUUGAAUUAUUUUAAUGUUAUAUAUUUUGAAUUAUUAAAACUUAUAUUAUUUUAAUGUAUUUUCACAACAAAAAAAACUAUUUUAAAAAACAAUCAUUAUUAUAUUUUCAAAUACAUUUUUAACAUGUUAGGAUCCCACUUCGAACUUCUCCUUCUCCUUCCUGGUUGAUAAGAUGGGUGUUUUCUUGAUAUUGUUUCCCCACUCUAUCUAUAAAAAAAAUUUGUUGCUUACUACAACAACAUUGAACUCUAAUCCCUUUAAUUAUUUCAUAGUAUUUAUUUAUAUAUGUAUUAGCAGAACUUUAAAACGCGUGAGAUUUCUACUAUACAUGAAUGUGUUUUGGACCAAAAAACAAUUUACUGUGGACUUACUAUACAUAUAUACAUUAUAGACCAAGAGACAAUUAACUGUGGACUUGUACAAUUGCUUAGCUAUAUAGUAAAAUGUAUGGAGAUUUUUCACUGUGAACCAAGAUACAAUUAACUGGACGACACUGUAGCCAACCGCAACCUGGAGGCGUUCCUUUCCUGUGUUUUUAGUCGAGAAUUGCGGCUGAGGGCGUUGCUCAUUUGACUUUUGCCAUUAAGAUGAGAACGAUGCAGCGGCAGAGGCGAUAGUAGAGCCGUUGGGUUUGGCUUUGGUAGCCAAACCCAACACUGUUGGUUCAGGUUGCUGCAGCAGGACACAUUAGCUUUGGGUCCUGCCCCCAGCAAGACCCCAAGACGCCUCUUUAUGCCUCUGCACAUCGUAUAUAUGUAUAUCUUCUUCACUACAGUAUAACACCACCAUUGAAUAUUAAUGUAAGAUCAUUGAUCAAUAAGGACGACUGGCUUCCAGUCGUAACAGUCAUACCAGUUAAAUUUCUUUGUCGUUGUCUUCUCUUAUUCAAAUUUAUAUUUCAAAAUAAAUUGAUGAGAUUUCUUUUAUAUUGUAUAAAAGUUGGGUGAUGAUAAUUUUUUCACGUUUCAGGUUGGGUUGAAUUUCCUAAUUAAAUCAUGUUAGAUUUUGUGUUUCGAAAAUUGUUUGAAAAUAAUUUUUAAAUUUUUUUCUUAGCUUCAAAUUAAUAUUUUUCUUAUGUUUUGGUAUUAUUUCAAAAACAAAUAUGUUGAGAUUGUGUCUUACUGCGAGGCUAAACCCAAGAAAUUUUAAAAUUUUUAAUUUUUUUCUUUACUUCAAAAUAAUAUUUUCUUCAUGUUUUUGUAUUAUUUUUUAAAUAUUUUUUUUGAAAAAAAACAUAUAUGGAGAUUGUGUCUGGUUGAGAGGCAAAACUCAAGAAAUUGAAAAAACUUUUAUUUUUUUUACUUCAAAUUAAUAUUCGUUUGAUAUUUUUUUUCUUUACUUCAAAUUAAUUAGAUCAUGUUUGAUUUUGCAUUUCAAAAUUUCUUUGAAAAAAAUUUGACAAUUUUUAAGUUUUUUUUCUUUACUUCAAAUUAAUAAUCUUUUUAUGUUUUCGUAUUCUUUUUUAAAAAUAUGAUGGCAUUGUGUUUGGCUGCGACGCUAGACCCAAGAAAUUUUAAAAUUUUAAUUCUUUUAUUUGUUUCAAAAUAAUACUUUUUGUCAUGUUGUUAUAUUUUUUAAAAAUAUAUUUUUUAAAAAAAUAUUGAGAUUGUGUCUGGCUGAGUAAAUAAUUCUCUAAUAUUGUCGUAUUAAAAUUGAUGGAGCUCUCAAUAAAUUUUUGAUUCACAUCAUAUACUUUAUAAAGUUUUGGUAUUAUAUAUGAGAUUAUUUAUUGGGUGCUAGAAGAUAUUUUAAUUUUAUAACAUUUUUUCAAAAUAAAUUGAUGAGAUUUCUUUUAUAUUGUAUAAAAGUUGGGUGAUGAUAAUUUUUUCACGUUUCAGGUUGGGUUGAAUUUCCUAAUUAAAUCAUGUUAGAUUUUUUGUUUCGAAAAUUGUUUGAAAAUAAUUUUUAAAUUUUUUUCUUUGCUUCAAAUUAAUAUUUUUCUUAUGUUUUGGUAUUAUUUCAAAAACAAAUAUGUUGAGAUUGUGUCUGACUGUAAGGCUAGACCCAAGAAAUUUUAAAAUUUUUAAUUUUUUUCUUUACUUCAAAAUAAUACUUUCCUCAUGUUUUUGUAUUAUUUUUUAAAUAUUUUUUUUGAAAAAAAACAUAUAUGGAGAUUGUGUCUGGUUGAGAGGCAAAACUCAAGAAAUUGAAAAAACUUUUAUUUUUUUUACUUCAAAUUAAUAUUCGUUUGAUAUUUUUUUUCUUUACUUCAAAUUAAUUAGAUCAUGUUUGAUUUUGCAUUUCAAAAUUUCUUUGAAAAAAAUUUGACAAUUUUUAAGUUUUUUUUCUUUACUUCAAAUUAAUAAUCUUUUUAUGUUUUCGUAUUCUUUUUUAAAAAUAUGAUGGCAUUGUGUUUGGCUGCGACGCUAGACCCAAGAAAUUUUAAAAUUUUAAUUCUUUUAUUUGUUUCAAAAUAAUACUUUUUGUCAUGUUGUUAUAUUUUUUUAAAAUAUAUUUUUUAAAAAAAUAUUGAGAUUGUGUCUGGCUGAGUAAAUAAUUCUCUAAUAUUGUCGUAUUAAAAUUGAUGGAGCUCUCAAUAAAUUUUUGAUUCACAUCAUAUACUUUAUAAAGUUUUGGUAUUAUAUAUGAGAUUAUAUAUUGGGUGCUAGAAGAUAUUUUAAUUUUAUAACAUUAGUGUAGGAGAUUCAAAGUUUUAUCAAUGUUUUAUUAUCUUUAAAUUUUUUAUACAAUAGUUUUGAAUUAUAUAUAUUAUUAAAUACAUAAAUAAAUUAUGUGUUAGGUCCAGCCCCUUGCAAGAACCAUUAGGGUUGGUCCUGCCGGGUGCAGGACCCAACAUUGCUUUGGGUCCUGACGUGUGCAGAAUCCAAUUGGGUGUUGAAUCAUGUCGGGUGCAGGGCCCAGAAUACCUCUGGGUUCUGCCGGGUGCAGGACUCAAAAUAGCUUUGGGUCCUGCCUGGUGCAGGACCCAUGUGGGUGUUGGGUCCUGUCAGUGCAGCACCCAGCCUCACACACACCAUGACCCAACAAUUAGGGCCCUGCCACCCAAUUCAUCAAGACCCAACAACAUUGGGCCUCAGAACCAGGACUCAACAGCUUUGGGCCUUGCCUCCCACCUACCUUGACCCAACGCCUAAUUGGAUCUUGCUGCCACCAGGACCCAACAACUUUGGGUCCUGCCUACUACCAUGACCCAACACCUAAAUGGACCCUUCUGCUACCAGGACCCAACAUCUCUGAAUCCUUUUCUAACCAGGACCCAACAGCUUGGGCCAUGCCCAAAGUAGCACCCAACACUUUGGGUCCUGCUAGUAGGUCAGGCCCAGCAGCGUUAGUGGGUCUUUUUCAUUCAAAAUCUAAGUCUGCAAUUGACCAGGAGUAAACCAGUCAACCUGCAAGGUCAACCCGAAACUAGGGCGAUUCGGCAAAAAUCUGAAAGAGACCUUUUUUUUUUCAAAUGUGUUUUUUCUCCUACACUAGACCCUUCGUUUUCUUAUAUUUUUAAGUUGGUUACUAACUCGUUUCAUAGUUCACUAUAUAAAUACUAUAAUAAUGUAUUUUUUUCCAUGUGGGAUUUGAAAUAUUUUAGUAUAUAUUUAUGUUUUGUCAAUAUGAGAUAAUAAACCUUUUUGGUUUAAAUACAAAAUAAAGUGACAUGACGGGUUAAAAAAUCAAAAACAAAAAAAUAGACAAAACAUCCUCUCUUUUAUUUUGUUUAGGAGUUCUUUUAAAAAAAUUUGAUUAUUUGAUCCGCGGCGAAGGAAGGUUCACAUAGCUAGUAUACAUAUAUUUAUUAUUAGUUUAUUCAAUCAAAUAUCAUCUCAUUUUGUAACAUGUAACUUCUUUUUAUUGUCACCAACGUGUGCAAGAGGCUUAACAUGAUCAUUUAUUAUUUUUUGUUCCAAGGUAUCAAUACCCUAUUAUUUGCGAUUUGUUGUCAUGAAUAUAUAAUCUGUUUUGCUUGAUAAUGCAUUGCAUAUUGCAUGAUAUUUUUGUGAAAAUAUCUUUUAAUUAAUCUGUUUUGCUUGAUAAUGCAUUGCAUAUUGCAUGAUAUUUUUGUGAAAAUAUCUUUUAAUUAAAAACAUAUCAAGAUUAUGUUUAUUUAGGUUUCUUUAUUUUUAAUAUUAAUACAUUAAAAUUAUUAAAAAAAUUAAUUUAUAUUAAUUAGUGACAAAACAAUGGCUUGAUACAUCACAAAUCCUUGUCUCCUCAGGGCCUUGCAAACAGAGCACCAACUUAAUUUGAAUUUACUUUUCUUUUGAAAGAUUACAUAUUGAAAGUUCAUGUUCAGGUAAAAAUGAUCAGCAAACAAGAUAGAUCCCAUUGUUGAACACUAAUGGUUUCAAGCCCGCGGUUUACAAUUAUCAACCUUUUUUAAAACAAUCCACCAACUUAGCCAUGGCUAUGCAAGAAGAUCCUCCGUCACUCUUUGCCACCACCGCAUCCUCCCUAAGUUUCAGAACCCUUUCUCGAACAGCUUCACCUUUCUUCGAGUUCAUCAGCUCAAUCACACGCUCCUCCAGCUCGGCCGCGUUCACAAACUGAUCGUCCCCAGCUUCUCUAAAUGCUAGAGCCACCUUCAUUUCCUCAACCAAGAAAAUCCUAUUCAUCCUUUGCUCUGCAUACAGAGGCCAAGCCACCAUUGGCACCCCAGCACACAGGGCUUCAAGUACAGAAUUCCAUCCACAAUGAGUCACAAACCCUCCAACCGAGCCGUGGUUGAGUAUUUCAACUUGUGGUGCCCAUGAAUUCACUAGAAAUCCCCGAUCUUGGGUUCUCUCCAAGAACCCUUCUGGCAAAAGUAAAUCCAAACAUGGCUCAUUUGGAGUGCUUGACCUGCCUGCUUGGGUUUGGCUAUCAGCCAGGGGAGGACGCACCACCCAUAAGAACCUAACACCACUUUUCUCCAACCCAAUAGCCGUUUCCCUUAACUGACGCGAAUUAAAGACUCCCAUGCUGCCGAAACAAAGAAAUAAAACACUGCGGGUUGGUUGCGAGUCAAGCCAUGUCAGACACUCGUGUUCGCUUUUGCUUUCGCUAGUGGUUAAAAGUGGACCAACGCAAAACAAUGGUGGUACUGGCUCAUCUGGGGCGCCGCACUUUCCUUCUUGUAUUGCCUGAAGUGCCUUACGUUCAAGGAACUCAAAUGUAUUUAUUAUGAGUCCUGCAGACUUGAUCAUCAGCUUGGCAGUGUCAACGAAGUAUUGGUAAACUCUGUGGGACCGGUCAGAAAUAGCCGGUGGCAACUCUUUUGAUGGAAUUUUUGGUAUGCCAGGUAAAUCAAUAAUUAUGUCAAGGUCUUUGAAGCUCUUUGUGAUGAUCUUAUCAAGGAUAGGGAGGUGAAGAAACGUGCAGAGGCCACUUGCAUCAGAAGUGUAGAAAAAGUAAAUGGGGAUGUUGUGUCUAGAGGACACAAACUCAAAAGCAGCACUGCAGAAGAAAUCUGUAAUCAAGGCUUUUAUAUUGGAGGAUUUAGAAAGAUUUAAGAGGGUCUGGUGGAGGUUGGUGUUGUUGAGCUCAGGGAGCUCAAAGAAAGAGGAUACGAAAUCUAGAGGAGAAAAGGAGGUGUUGGGAGGGAGAGAAACUUGAGGGAGGUGAAUAAGAGUUAUGGAGGGAUUGGUGUUACAGAGUGUGGAAAAGUAGGGGUCAUCAAUGGAGAUUGAUUCAGUUGGCAUGGCGGAGACUAUGAUUGUAAUUGAGAUUGAAGGGUGGUGUUCGAGAAUUUGCUUUCCUAGUUCCACCAUAGAGAAUAAGUGGCCUCUGCCAGGUGAUGGGUACAAGACGAUGGUAUCCUCCAUGUGGCAGGCUUCUCUGUUUUCGCACAAGUCCACAACCACCGAAAGAGAGAAAGAUGGAGAUAUGAUAUCGCAGUAAGGACCUUGGAUGUGCUUUAUAUGCAAUUU
rnacentral:lncRNA from 1 species